UUCUUAAUUAUUAUUACCUUAAGUAAAAUCUGCUCCAUGUAAAAUAAUAGCCGCAGUAAUUUCACUGUGCUAAGGUAGCAUAAUCAUUAGCCUUUUAAUUAAAGGCUAGAAUGAAAGAUUUAACAUUUUAAUUUCUUUUUUUAAAAACUUCUAUUUAACUUAAACUAAAUAUAAAAAUAUAUUUAUAUAUAAAAAAGACGACAAGACCCUAUUGAACUUUACUAUAGUUUAGCUGGGGAAGCUAAUUAAAUAUAAUUUUAAUUUUUUUAUAAAAUAAUCAAACCAAUAAAAUUGAUUUUAACAAGUUACCAUAGGGAUAACAGCGUAAUAUUUUUUUAAAGUUCUUAUAAAAAAAAAGACUUGCGACCUCGAUGUUGAAUUAAUUUUCUUUAAAGCGCAAAAGCAUUAAAAGAAGGUCUGUUCGACCUUUAACAAUUACA
rnacentral:rRNA from 1 species